rnacentral:pre_miRNA from 1 species
CGGGGGAGGCCGGAUCCUGGGCUGUGUCCCGGCGCCCUGUGCUCCGGAGCCUAGGCUGGUGGAUUCGCGCUCCCGGGCCGCGCAACCCCCU